CGCAUGGCCAUCCCCGUGAGCUUCCCGGCGCCCCGCCUCGCCCUCUUCUCUAAUUUAGAUUGGUGGCGGCAGGGAGACAUGAGACGUCAGUCAACAUAUGUAAGAGGAACGAUGGAUUGGUCCGGAAAGAUGGAGUCUCACCCUGUCGCCCAGGCUGGAGUGUAGU